CUCCUACGGGAGGCAGCAGUGGGGAAUCUUGCGCAAUGGGCGAAAGCCUGACGCAGCCAUGCCGCGUGAAUGAUGAAGGUCUUAGGAUUGUAAAAUUCUUUCACCGGGGACGAUAAUGACGGUACCCGGAGAAGAAGCCCCGGCUAACUUCGUGCCAGCAGCCGCGGUAAUACGAAGGGGGCUAGCGUUGCUCGGAAUUACUGGGCGUAAAGGGAGCGUAGGCGGACAUUUAAGUCAGGGGUGAAAUCCCAGAGCUCAACUCUGGAACUGCCUUUGAUACUGGGUGUCUUGAGUGUGAGAGAGGUAUGUGGAACUCCGAGUGUAGAGGUGAAAUUCGUAGAUAUUCGGAAGAACACCAGUGGCGAAGGCGACAUACUGGCUCAUUACUGACGCUGAGGCUCGAAAGCGUGGGGAGCAAACAGGAUUAGAUACCCUGGUAGUCCACGCCGUAAACGAUGAUUGCUAGUUGUCGGGCUGCAUGCAGUUCGGUGACGCAGCUAACGCAUUAAGCA
rnacentral:rRNA from 1 species